GGAUGAACGCUGGCGGCGUGCCUAAUACAUGCAAGUCGAGCGAAGGAUGUAGCGAUACGUUCUUAGCGGCGAACGGGUGAGUAACGCGUUGGUGACCUGCCUCGAAGCGUGGGAUAACAGUUCGAAAGGACUGCUAAUACCGCAUGUGGUUGUGGAGACUAGAGGCUCUGCAACUGAAGGAGAAAUUCACUUCGAGAGGGGCCUGCGUCCCAUCAGCUAGUUGGUAAGGUAAAAGCUUACCAAGGCGAUGACGGGUAGGGGACCUGAGAGGGUGGCCCCCCACAAUGGAACUGAAACACGGUCCAUACACCUACGGGUGGCAGCAGUAGGGAAUAUUGCAUAAUGGGCGAAAGCCUGAUGCAGCAACGCCGCGUGUGCGAUGAAGGCCUUCGGGUCGUAAAGCACUUUUAGAGAGGAUGAGGAAGGACAGUACUCUCUGAAUAAGCCUC
rnacentral:rRNA from 1 species